ensembl:snRNA U6 U6 spliceosomal RNA
GUGCUCACUUCAGCAGCACAUAUACUAAAAAUUGUAGUGAUACAGAGAAGACUAGCACGGCCCUGUGCAAGGAUGACACGCAGGUGGGGUGCAGUGGCUCACGCCUGU